UUUUGGGGGUUUUAAGCCGCAGAUAUUGAUUCAUUUUGAAAUUGGGGGUUCAGGUUUUCAAUUCUGCCUGAGAGAUUCUGAAAAUUAACUACAACAAGAAAGACAUCAUCAGUUUCUAGUCAUACAAAAGCAGAUAGAAUCAUCUAUUGGUGGUAUAUGUAGUGUGAUCAGAAGCAAAGAUUAGAAUUGAUUAUGGGGGUUUUGCACUUCAAGACUUGAGAUUGAAGUUUAGGGUUCAAAAAUUGCACUGGAUGAUCAGCCAUUUCUGCACUCAAAGGUACUUACUUUUAAUUCUCAGCUAUAUUGGAAAAGGGUCUUUGUUUAUUAAUUGAAAUUGGAGAUUAGAGUUUUGAACAAACAAAUAUUGGGGAUCUCUAAGUUCAUUAAGGAUUACUGUUCAGUUUAGGCUAACCUUUAAUAAAUGGAAGAAACAAUAAAUGCAUCCUUAUACUCAAAUGGGGAAGAUAGAAUCAGUAGGUUACCAGAUGCAUUGAUUCAUCAAAUUCUCUCUUUCAUUGGUUGUUGAAUCUCUCAGCCUUAUGAAGUUUGCAUACACUUGUUGCCAUAGGCAUGUUUUGCCACAAAAUGAUACUAUGGCUAACAUUAUCCAGUUAUUUGCUCCAAAUCUGGAAGACUUCAUUUGCAGAUUUUUCUUGACACAUGAUUAUUCUAUAGAAAUCUCUUCUCCACCUUCCGAGGUAUAUUUUGACAUGAUACUGAAAGAAAAAGAAGAAGAUGAGAAUGCAUAUACAUAUUCGGAAUUGCCUUCAGAGAAAAAAAUUGUAUAUGCUAAACGUGUGGUGAGAUAUCUCGGAGCGGUUUCUAUGGUGAAAAAUAUGGGAUUAUCACCUUUUUUCCAUGAAUUAUAUAGCUUAACAUAUUUGCGGAAACGAUGUAAGUAUGUUUUACUGCCUAGUCAACUGUAUGAGAAGGGCAAGGGCAAGGGCAAGGGCAUUGCUGCUUAAGCAACUCAACUUUCAUUACGUAUGAGAGGAUCCUUUGUUAUAUAUUUCGAUUUUUCUGUUUCUUUCUCAAUUUUAGCAUAAGAAAGAAGGAUUAAUACCAAGGAUUAACAAAAGUCAUGUUAUUCUGAAUUAGUAAAGAUGAGAUUAUUUAUAUAACUUUAUUAUCGUGCUCGUUUCAGUAGUCUUGGUUUACUACAGAAGCAAGAUUUUAGCUACUGCUAUUACUAUUUGAAUUUUUUUUUUUUCAAGGUUCUCUCACAAGCUCCCAACCUAUUAGACUGUCAACCACCUCGCUUAUGUGAUUUAAAAAAUUUGACGCUGGAAAUGUGGUCUACAAGAGGUUCCUUGAGGGCUUUAGCAUACUUACUCAAGAUAUCUCCUAGUAUAACUAAAAUUUACCUUUGUUCGAAGACGAAGGAGUCAAAUGUAACGGACGCUGGAGAUGAUUGGGAAGCUGGAUUGUCAUUGCCAGGAAUGUCGUCUCACCUCAAGUAUGUCCAGUUUGAAGAAGCAGAAGGAUGUGAUGCUGAGCUCAAACUCCUUGUUUUUUUUCUUGAAAAACGCAAAGGUUUUGGAGAAAGUUGUUCUAUACUUUCGUCCUAGUGCUGCCUCGUCUAAAAGAGUGAGACAAGAGCAAUUUAAGGAUAAGCUAAGAGCAGUUCCUACUGCUUCAAGUAUCAAAAUGGUGUUCAAAACUGAGUAGGUGACGUUGUGAGCUUAAAAUGGUGUUCCAGUAUCAAAAUGGUGUUAAGGGAUCUUAAAAUGGGUGAAUUCACAAACUUCUCAAGCAAAUUGCCCUAUCUGCCGCAGGGAGUGGCAAUUCAAACAGCAAGGAAUCCAGGGGUCUUUUCUUCUUCCGGCUUGGCAGCUUUGGAUACAGAAUCGGCUGCAUUGGCAACAUGCUCCCUAGCUGUUUGAGCUGUAUCGGCAAGGACACCAGAGGUCUCUUCUUUUUUCUCCUGGGCAGUGUUGGUUGUAGCGUUGGCUGCAUCUGCUACAUAGUCUUUAGUUGCUUUAGCUGCAUCGGCAACAUGUUCCCCAGCUGUGUUAACUGUGUUCUUAGCUGAUUCAACUGUCUGAUUAGUAGACAUCUUCGCUCUCUUCGAAUGAUAGAUGAGAGAUUGAACUUCAAAUUGGUGGUUGUAUAAUAGGAUGAAGAGAUUGUUUUCUUUUCUUGUUAUCUUUGCCAGUCUUCUUGUAUGGGUAUUUAGAGAUUUUAAAUCUUACACCUGCACAGCUUUGCCA